UACGUAGGGACCAAGCGUUGUCCGGAAUCAUUGGGCGUAAAGAGCGUGUAGGCGGCUUGUUAAGUCUUGCGUGAAAUCUCGGGGCUCAACCCCGAGCGGUCGUGAGAAACUGGCAGGCUAGAGUGCGGGAGAGGAGAGUGGAAUUCCUGGUGUAGCGGUGAAAUGCGUAGAUAUCAGGAGGAACACCGGUGGCGAAGGCGGCUCUCUGGACGGAUACUGACGCUGAGGCGCGAAAGCGUGGGGAUCAAACAGG
rnacentral:rRNA from 1 species